CAGCCAAUCUGAAAGGAUAUUUUCAGGUGAACCAGAACAGCACCUCCUCCCACUUAGGAAGCUCGUGAUUUCCAGAGCCUCCCUGGGGGAGUCAUGUCCACUAGGGUGGGCUGACCCAGCCCCAUCAGAGGUUUCCAUGGUGACAGACUGGGGAUGCUAUUUAUAGAAUCAAGGCUUAGUCUUCUAGCUCUGGAUCAAGGACAGGGAGAGGGAUUAACGCUGAACCAACCAGAAAAAGAUCUCUGCAAAUGAACUUCAUUGCCAAGAAGAGAAGAAACUGCAUUUAAGUGGAAAUCGGACCUCUAAUCCAAGCAUAUUGCUUGCUAUUAAUCGCCAAAACAGGACUGCUGAUGAGGAAUGUAUUUGCAUAUGUUUGCAAAAGCUGAAUCAUUGAAAAUGUACCUUGAAACUCUCUAUCUUUGGACACGCCAGGGUAGAGAACGAAGGGUAUGGAAGUAGUCCGGCUUUUGAAACUUAGGUAUUUUAUAUUUUUCCCCUCAAGAACUUUUUUUUAAGAGAAAGAUUUGCCAUCCUCCUUAAUUUGCAGGACUGCCUUGGUGGCUUUGUUUGCUGGGACAAGGCCCACAAACUGUGCCUCUCCUAUUGACCCUUACUUUGAAUUCAAAGAAUCUAUUUAAGAAUUUAAUAUAUGAGGCUUUCUUUGAUUCCUCCUCAGUUCUACCUAGUUUCACAGAGAAAAAAAAAUACUCUUUGAAUAAAGUGAACAGGGGCUCAUUU
rnacentral:lncRNA from 1 species